GGAAAUCAAUUGUCUUGAGUGGGAGAGCUUCGCUUUUCAUCCCAGUCCCCUCAUUGUACUUGUUUUUGAGAGAUACAAUCGGGCUAGUGACAACUGGAAAGCUCUUAAGGAGCUGGAGAAAGCAGCCAAGGUGUAUUGGAGUGCCAAAGAGCGCUUGCCUCCUCGGACUGUGAAGAUUGACAUUAAUAUUGAGAGGGAUCUAGCCUAUGCGCUUAAAGUCAAAGAAAGUCCACAGAUAUUGUUCUUACGAGGAAACAGGAUACUAUACAGGGAAAAAGAAAUUCGUACAGCUGAUGACUUGGUUCAAAU
rnacentral:misc_RNA from 1 species